UACGAAGGGGGCUAGCGUUGCUCGGAAUCACUGGGCGUAAAGCGCACGUAGGCGGAUUGCUAAGUCAGGGGUGAAAUCCUGGAGCUCAACUCCAGAACUGCCUUUGAUACUGAGAAGCUUGAGUCCGGGAGAGGUGAGUGGAACUGCGAGUGUAGAGGUGAAAUUCGUAGAUAUUCGCAAGAACACCAGUGGCGAAGGCGGCUCACUGGCCCGGUACUGACGCUGAGGUGCGAAAGCGUGGGGAGCAAACAGGG
rnacentral:rRNA from 1 species